UGAGCCGCUAGCUUCUUCGUGGAGCACGACUUUGGAUUCGAUGUUUAGCCAAGAGAUCCAGAUCAGGGUUCUGAGACUUGUGGCGGGUUUCCUUCUAGCUUCCAGCCUCUUCAGGCCAUGCUGUAUUCUUGUCCGUACUCGGACAUAAUUCGACUUCCGCUGAUGUAAUGAUGUAAUGUUAAGACAUGUGUCCUCUCUUUGUAAUAUUUGUUAUUCUGCU
rnacentral:lncRNA from 1 species